rfam:Acidobacteria bacterium 13_1_40CM_56_16 13_1_40cm_scaffold_1442, whole genome shotgun sequence.
UCGGGAAGACGGGCAACCGCUUAGCGGUUGCACUUGAAUUUUUGAUUCCAGUUCCUUCGGAAUCGCCAGGUAGGAAGCCGUCGCCGCCGCGCGACUGUAAGGGGCGGAUUCAGUUAGUGCGCAGGCCACUGCGGCCAGUCGCUCCAUCGCUGGGCGACCCCGCGGGAAGGCCCCGCAACGGUCCUCAUUCAGAAGGCCCGGAGCUACCGCCAAGCCAGGAGACCG